UAAUACGGAGGGUGCAAGCGUUAUCCGGAUUCACUGGGUUUAAAGGGUGCGUAGGCGGACAGGUAAGUCAGUGGUGAAAUCUCUGGGCUUAACUCAGAAACUGCCGUUGAUACUAUCUGUCUUGAAUAUCCUGGAGGUAAGCGGAAUAUGUCAUGUAGCGGUGAAAUGCUUAGAUAUGACAUAGAACACCGAUAGCGAAGGCAGCUUACUACAGGAUGAUUGACGCUGAGGCACGAAAGCGUGGGGAGCAAACAGGAUUAGAUACCCUGGUAGUCCACGCCCUAAACUAUGGAUACUCGACAUCAGCGAUACACUGUUGGUGUCUGAGCGAAAGCAUUAAGUAUCCCACCUGGGAAGUACGACCGCAAGGUUG
rnacentral:rRNA from 1 species